AGGAUAUUAGUUAAAUAAUAACAAUUAAAUUGCAUUUAAUAAUUAUCUAAAUGAUAUAUCUUA
rnacentral:tRNA from 1 species